UUGGUAAUCCUUAUGACCGGAAACCACAAGCUUUUUUUUUUGCCACAGUUUCAAUAUAUAUUCACUGAGCAGCCUUGCCUUUUUCACUAACUUCAUUGAGCAAGGAAGACAAAUUGCUUUCUUUGCUGUGUGACUGAAGUGACCCCCACUUGGUAUCUGUUUAACAAGACAGCUCUUCACUGACUGAUGUCAAAGAUGUUGAAGAUCCUCUUCUUGGUGUCCUUGAUGGUUUUGACUGCUUGCCGCAUCCAGUCUGUAAAGAUUCCAUCUUUCAAUGGUUCUGAUGCUGGUACCCAGAAGCUCUGUGCCCGCCUCUCAAACCCGGAGACUGGGGAGCAGCUGGAGCUGCAUUCCCUCAGAGAGAAGAAGCUGCUGGGAGCUGGUUGGAGUGGAGCCUUCAGCUCCUUCAAUGUGAUGGACAAGUGUCAACUCUCUCUGUGGGCAAAUCCCCGAGAAUGGAGUGAGUCUCGCUCCUUCCCGAGUGGUGCUUAUCCCAACCAGCUCUUAAGUGCUGUUGGCUUCCUCUCCAGCUACCAGUGCACAUGUGACGACCCCAUAAAAAAUAAAAAUUUCAAAAAUUUUGUACGCAGACACCUUGCAUCUGAACAGGAACAAGGUAGCGACAGUUUCUGCACAGAUAAAGUAAGACAAAGACGUAAAACUUGCCAACCUACAAACCCUUUUGUAUUCUCUACCGCGGGGAAAGUAAUCCGUGUGUGUAGAAAUGAAGGUGUCCAGGUGCCAAACUCAAAUUUGUAUAAGAGCAAAAACCUAUUCAGAAUGGUGGAUUGUAAGAAAACAGACCCAAACGCAAACCCCCCAAAUUGUUCCUACACCGCCGAAAAUACAAACGAACAAAGAUUUAUCAUUUUAGAGUGUAAUAAAAGAAGGCUGCCUAUACAUUUUGAGGCAUCAGAAGCUCCUUCUGUAUUUGGGUUCACUGACAGAGUUUAAACUGCUGUGAAUAACCUGCUCUCUCUGCACUGCUUAUUGCUUUUAAGUAGUUUGUUAAGUCUGUUAAUUCCUCUUUAUUAUUUCGUAGUAGCCCUUGAAAAAAAAAAAAAAAAACUAUACCGAAAGUAUACUUGGAUCAAAAUAGUACAGAUUGUCUUGACCAGAGAAGUGAUAUUUGUAUGAAUUUGUGGUAAACUGACCCUCUUUGGUAAUUCCUUAUGUUGAGAUGUUCAGAAUAAAAAUGCAAUGCAUCAUUUCUCCUGUAAUCCCUGCUGUUUGAAUGCAAUAAAAGCUUUUGCUGCAUGAAA